rnacentral:ribozyme from 1 species
AUGAGAGAGAGAGAGAGAGAGAGACAGAGGGAGAUAAAGUGCUAUAAUAUUCACUUAAUGGUAGCAUAUGUAUUUUCACUCCAUCACUAUUUCUCUCUCUUUCUCUUUCUCUCU